GACGAACGCUGGCGGUGUGCUUAACACAUGCAAGUCGAACGGAAAGGCCCUUUCGGGGGUACACGAGUGGCGAACGGGGGCGUAACACGUGAGUAACCUGCCCUCAUCUCUGGGAUAACAGUCGGAAACGGUUGCUAAUACUGGAUAUGAGCUAGCAAGGCAUCUUGAGGGUUGGAAAGAUUUUUUUGGUUGGGGAUGGACUCGCGGCCUAUCAGCUUGUUGGUGAGGUAGUGGCUCGCCAAGGCUUCGACGGGGAGCAGGCCUGUGAGGGCGACCGGCCACAUUGGGACUGAGGUGCGGCCCAAGCUCCUACGCGUGGCGGCAGUGGGGAAUAUUGCACGAUGGACGGAAGUCGGGUGCAGCAACGCCGCGGGCGGGAUGACUGCCUUCGGGUUGUAAACCGCUUUUAAUUGUGACUAUGCUUUUUGUGACGGUAGCAGUAGAAGAAGCACCGGCUAACUACGUG
rnacentral:rRNA from 1 species